GAUGAACGCUGGCGGCGUGCCUAAUACAUGCAAGUCGAGCGAAUGGAUUAAGGGCUUGCUCUUAUGAAGUUAGCGGCGGACGGGUGAGUAACACGUGGGUAACCUGCCCAUAAGACUGGGAUAACUCCGGGAAACCGGGGCUAAUACCGGAUAACAUUUUGAACCGCAUGGUUCGAAAUUGAAAGGCGGCUUCGGCUGUCACUUAUGGAUGGACCCGCGUCGCAUUAGCUAGUUGGUGAGGUAACGGCUCACCAAGGCAACGAUGCGUAGCCGACCUGAGGGGGUGAUCGGCCACACCGGGACUGAGACACGGCCCAGACUCCUACGGGAGGCAGCAGUAGGGAAUCUUCCGCAAUGGACGAAAGUCUGACGGAGCAACGCCGCGUGAGUGAUGAAGGCUUUCGGGUCGUAAAACUCUGUUGUUAGGGAAGAACAAGUGCUAGUUGAAUAAGCUGGCACCUUGACGGUACCUAACCAGAAAGCCACGGCUAACUACGUGCCAGCCGCCGCGGUAA
rnacentral:rRNA from 1 species